UGGGGAAUAUUUCACAAUGGGCGCAAGCCUGAUGCAGCCAUGCCGCGUGUAUGAAGAAGGCCUUCGGGUUGUAAAGUACUUUCAGUCGGGAGGAAGGUGGUAAGGUUAAUAACCUUGGCAAUUGACGUUACCGACAGAAGAAGCACCGGCUAACUCCGUGCCAGCAGCCGCGGUAAUACGGAGGGUGCAAGCGUUAAUCGGAAUUACUGGGCGUAAAGCGCACGCAGGCGGUUGAUUGAGUCAGAUGUGAAAUCCCCGGGCUUAACCCGGGAAUUGCAUCUGAUACUGGUCAGCUAGAGUCUUGUAGAGGGAGGUAGAAUUCCAUGUGUAGCGGUGAAAUGCGUAGAGAUGUGGAGGAAUACCGGUGGCGAAGGCGGCCCCCUGGACAAAGACUGACGCUCAGGUGCGAAAGCGUGGGGAGCAAACAGG
rnacentral:rRNA from 1 species